rnacentral:rRNA from 1 species
AUUGAACGCUGGCGGCAGGCCUAACACAUGCAAGUCGAACGAGUGGCGGACGGGUGAGUAAUGUCUGGGAAACUGCCCGAUGGCGGGGGAUAACUACUGGAAACGGUAGCUAAUACCGCAUACCAUCGGAUGUGCCCAGAUGGGAUUAGCCAGUAGGUGGGGUAACGGCUCACCUAGGCGACGAUCCCUAGCUGGUCUGAGAGGAUGACCAGCCACACUGGAACUAAGACACGGUCCAGACGCCUACGCGAGGGAGCAUUGGGGAAUAUUACACAAUAGGCGCAAGCCUGAUGCAGCCAUGCCGCGUGUAUGAAGAAGGCCUUCGGGUUGUAAAGUACUUGCAGCGAGGAGGCGUUACUCGCAGAAGAAGCACCGGCUAACUCCGUGCCAGCAGCCGCGGUGAUUC